UGGGCAGAGUGCUCACUGGUUUUGUUAUACCUUUGUGUUUACAAUGUUCUUUGUUUGGUUUCUUUCAUUGCUUGGGUUUGGGGGGGGAUGGAGGGAUGGAG